rnacentral:rRNA from 1 species
AUUGAACGCUGGCGGCAGGCUUAACACAUGCAAGUCGAACGAGUGGCGGACGGGUGAGCAAUGCUUGGGAAUCUGGCUUAUGGAGGGGGAUAACUACGGGAAACUGUAGCUAAUACCGCGUACCAUAGGCUGAGCCCAAGUGGGAUUAGGUAGUUGGUGGGGUAACGGCUCACCAAGCCGACGAUCUCUAGCUGGUCUGAGAGGAUGACCAGCCACACUGGAACUGAGACACGGCCCAGACUCCUACGGUAGGCAGCAGUGGGGAAUAUUGCGCAAUGGGGGCAACCUGACGCAGCCAUGCCGCGUGAAUGAAGAAGGCCUUCGGGUUGUAAAGUUCUUUCGGUAGCGAGGCGUUAACUACAGAAGAAGCACCGGCUAACUCCGUGCCAGCCGCCGCGGUAAUUC